rnacentral:rRNA from 1 species
CCUACGGGUGGCAGCAGUCGAGAAUCAUUCACAAUGGGGGAAACCCUGAUGGUGCGACGCCGCGUGGGGGAAUGAAGGUCUUCGGAUUGUAAACCCCUGUCAUGUGGGAGCAAAUCAAAAAGAUAGUACCACAAGAGGAAGAGACGGCUAACUCUGUGCCAGCAGCCGCGGUAAUACAGAGGUCUCAAGCGUUGUUCGGAAGCACUGGGCGUAAAGCGUGCGUAGGCUGUUUCGUAAGGCGUGUGUGACAGGGGCGGGCUCAACCCGCGGACGGCACAUGAUACUGCGAGACUAGAGUAAUGGAGGGGGAACCGGAAUGCUCGGUGUAGCAGUGAAAUGCGUAGAUAUCGAGAGGAACACUCGUGGCGAAGGCGGGUUCCUGGACAUUAACUGACGCUGAGGCACGAAGGCCAGGGGAGCGAAAGGGAUUAGAUACCCCAGUAGUC